AAGUCGUAACAAGGUUUCCGUAGGUGAACCUGCGGAAGGAUCAUUAAUGAAACUUCAAGUCGUCUCAAGUUGUGCUGGCAGUAACACGCAUGUGAACACUCGGGGCGCAAAUCCACACACCUGUGAACAUCUUACUUGGAACACGGCUGGAUACAACGUGAUCUCCGAGGCAAUUUUCCACACUCGAAUGUAACAGAAUGUCAACCGUACCAAUGUACAAAAUUAUAAACAACUUUCAACAACGGAUCUCUUGGCUCUCGCAUCGAUGAAGAACGCAGCGAAAUGCGAUAAGUAAUGUGAAUUGCAGAAUUCAGUGAAUCAUCGAAUCUUCGAACGCACCUUGCACCCUUUGGUAUUCCGAAGGGUACACCCGUUUGAGUGUCAUUGUAAUCUCACCUCUAUAACUUUUGGUUAUGGAACCGUGGACUUGGAUGUUGCAGUGUUACAACUGCUCAUCUUAAAUACUUGAGUGUACCCUGCUUUGCAGCGUAUUCGGUGUGAUAACAUCUUCACCGGAGUCAGUCGCAAGACACGUUUGCUAGGUUUGGCUCUAUGCUUCAAACUGUCUGAAAGGACAAUCUCUGACAAUUUGACCUCAAAUCGGGUGGGACUACCCGCUGAACUUAAGCAUAUCAAUAAGCGGAGGAAAAGAAACUAACAAGGAUUCCCCUAGUAACGGCGAGUGAAGAGGGAAAAGCUCAAAUUUUAAAUCUGGUUCCUUUGGUUCCCGAGUUGUAAUCUAGAGAAGUGUUUUCCGCGUUGGACCGUGUACAAGUUCCCUGGAACGGGGCGUCAUAGAGGGUGAGAAUCCCGUAUAUGCCACGGACUACCAUUGCUAUGUGAUACACUCUCAACGAGUCGAGUUGUUUGGGAAUGCAGCUCAAAAUGGGUGGUAAAUUCCAUCUAAAGCUAAAUAUUGGCGAGAGACCGAUAGCGAACAAGUACCGUGAGGGAAAGAUGAAAAGCACUUUGGAAAGAGAGUGAAACAGUACGUGAAAUUGUUGAAAGGGAAGCGUUUGAAGUCAGUCACGACUAUUGGGAUUCAGCCUGGCUUCUGCCUGGUGUAUUUUCUAGUAUUCGGGUCAGCAUCAGUUUUGACCGAGGGAAAAAGAUCUACGGAAUGUGCCUUUCUUCGGGAAGUGUUAUAGCCUUAGGUUGUAUGCCUCGGUUGGGACUGAGGAUCGCAGCGCGCCACUUAAUAGGCCGGGGUUCGCGCCCUCGACUCGCGCUUAGGAUGCUGGCAUAAUGGCUUUAAGCGACC
rnacentral:rRNA from 1 species